rnacentral:misc_RNA from 1 species
AAGUCGUAACAAGGUUUCCGUAGGUGAACCUGCGGAAGGAUCAUUAACAUCUGUAAUGAAUUGUGGUGGUGUUUGUGUUUGCUUUGGUGAGCACGCAUCAUCUCAACCCCAUUGUGUGCAUGUUUGUGUGUGUGUGUGCGUGAGUGAGUAGUUUCUACUCUACUCUACCCACCUCACCCACUCUCUCUUUCACUUUCAACCCCAUCAAACCCCUUCUUCUCAUCACACUAGACUGACUUUACACCUCGUUUUACUCAGGCUCAACUGAGCAAAACAUCAAUCAGCAUACAACUCUUAGCAACGGAUAUCUAGGCUCUCGCAUCGAAGAACGCAGC